GCAAUACAAUAAUUUUAUUAUUAUUAUUAUUAUUUUCGAGAGAUAGAUAGCACGCUACCCGCUUCAUUUAUUUCAUUUAAAAAUAAACUUAGCUGGAAAUGUGAAUCAACUAAGAUUCGAACUUGGGCCUCGAAUACCAACCACCAAGCUCUUUGCCACUUACUUUAGAGACGGUCGGUAAUUUUAUUAAAAUUUUACAUCUCAUAUUUUAAUGUCAAUAUCAUUCUUAAUUAGAAAUCUAAUAU
rnacentral:lncRNA from 1 species